rnacentral:ncRNA from 1 species
UGCAAAUGUUCUUUUCUGCUCGUGAGCGUAAUGGUAUAAGCCUGCCUGACUGUGAGACCGACUGGCCGAACAGAGACGAAAAGUCGGCCAUAGUGAUUCGGGAGUCCCGUGUGGAAGGGCUCUCGCUCAA